rnacentral:rRNA from 1 species
GAUGAACGCUGGCGGCGUGCCUAAUACAUGCAAGUCGAGCGAACAGAUGAGGAGCUUGCUCCUCUGACGUUAGCGGCGGACGGGUGAGUAACACGUGGAUACCCUACCUAUAAGACUGGGAUAACUUCGGGAAACCGGAGCUAAUACCGGAUAAUAUAUUGAACCGCAUGGUUCAAUAGUGAAAGACGGUUUUGCUGUCACUUAUAGAUGGAUCCGCGCCGCAUUAGCUAGUUGGUAAGGUAACGGCUUACCAAGGCAACGAUGCGUAGCCGACCUGAGAGGGUGAUCGGCCACACUGGAACUGAGACACGGUCCAGACUCCUACGGGAGGCAGCAGUAGGGAAUCUUCCGCAAUGGGCGAAAGCCUGACGGAGCAACGCCGCGUGAGUGAUGAAGGUCUUCGGAUCGUAAAACUCUGUUAUUAGGGAAGAACAAAUGUGUAAGUAACUAUGCACGUCUUGACGGUACCUAAUCAGAAAGCCACGGCUAACUACGUG